AAAAAAUAUCAGUAAGGAUUUAAUAAAAAAGAAGAUUAAAAAAGUAUUUUCUGACACAAGUUGUUUUAAGAGAAUGUGGAGAAACGGGGUUCAGGCCGAGGAAAAGCAACCUUUCAUUACUCCACAAAUUUGAAAAGUUUCCUGAGUGCAGAGCCUCAUUAUCUUGACCGGGGUUGUCAUCCCAUGGUUUUCUAGAAAAAGGGAAAAAUACCCCGCUCCACCAACUGUACAACUGCUCAAAGUCUUAAAACAUACUUAGGAGUUCUCCCAAGGGAGGGAUGAAGCAAUGAUUAGAGAAGAGAGACAGAGAGCAAGGAGACACAUAUGGUGGGAGUAGUAUAAUGCAUUGAGCCUUCCUUGAAGCUUCAUUAAAAUUAUAUCUAAAGAACCGAUUAUAAGAAAAUGAUUAAUAAUACAAUAACACGGAGCAACUGUUCUGCAGAGUUGUUUGGAGUUGUGGGCUUUUCCAUCAGCACUCUGUUUUGUUCUCUGCUUCCAUCCAUGCAGGGAAGCAAAUGCCCGUCACCAAUUUUUUUUUUUUCCUUCUCAUCAAGCAAUAAGAACCAUCAUUUGGUAAAAACAAAGGAUACAUCUGCUUUCUGGGCAGCCAGCACAGAAGGAAGAUUAGUAAGCAAGAUGUGUGCUUCACCAUUAUGUGGUGCAAAGGAGAAGUGUCAGCCAGCUGGUGACUCCAGGUGCACCUGGUGGGAGAGAGGACUCCAGACCACUCCUAUGGUUGGAUUACAGAGGAGGUAGAUCAUAGGGCUCAGUGACUUUUGGGCUCUAUCUUCUCCUGUCUGUGCAGUGAAACUAAUGUUAAGAAGGUGAUCCCUGAGAACCUGCAAGAACUUAUUACUGUAAGAUUCACUUAUGGUUUACUGGGCUGAUGUAGGAAAGGUGUGGGGCAAAGAAACAAAACGAGAUUUUAUCCUGCACCACCCAGAAUCAUGUCACCAGGAUAUUCUGUUCAUGGCUAGGAGACUCCCUGGACCACAAGCAGACCAACAACGUACUUUUCAGUGACUUCAAAAGUUCUCUGUGUUUUUGGGAUUUUGAGGGG
rnacentral:lncRNA from 12 species